GAUUGUGAACAUACAACCCUCACUGCUUAUCUUUGGGCACUGGCAGAGCAUGGCCCGGUCGGUCUUGUGUCUGGACUCCUAUUGAGUGUAUGUGCAAUAAUUGGAUGUGGAGAGAGCAAUUGGUUUGGCUGCUGGGCUGUGCUUCGGGUCUAUCAGAAGUAGAUCUUGUGCCCAUCCCUCCAGGCAUUACCUGCACUUCCCUGGCUUACCUGGGAUCCCUCAGGGCACGUAUGCAGCAGCAGAGGAACCGUUAAUCUGCCAGAAGUAUGCUGACAUAGCAUCAGGCAAUACCUACCAAAAGAUCAGGAAAGUCAAGAAAAUGGCCUUCAACCUGUGUGCCUAAUUCAGUGUGAAUCCUGUGCUGACGUGACUGAAGAUGGAAAGAAAUAAAGUUCCAGCUGUUACUUCACACAAA